GUGGGGAAUUUUGGACAAUGGGCGCAAGCCUGAUCCAGCAAUGCCGCGUGCAGGAAGAAGGCCUUCGGGUUGUAAACUGCUUUUGUACGGAACGAAACGGUCCUGGUUAAUACCUGGGGCUAAUGACGGUACCGUAAGAAUAAGCACCGGCUAACUACGUGCCAGCAGUCGCGGUAAUACGUAGGGUGCGAGCGUUAAUCGGAAUUACUGGGCGUAAAGCGUGCGCAGGCGGUGCUGUAAGACAGGCGUGAAAUCCCCGGGCUCAACCUGGGAAUUGCGCUUGUGACUGCAGUGCUGGAGUACGGCAGAGGGGGAUGGAAUUCCGCGUGUAGCAGUGAAAUGCGUAGAUAUGCGGAGGAACACCGAUGGCGAAGGCAGUCCCCUGGGCCUGUACUGACGCUCAUGCACGAAAGCGUGGGGAGCAAACAGGAUUAGAAACCCUUGUAGUCC
rnacentral:rRNA from 1 species